CCUACGGGAGGCAGCAGUGGGGAAUAUUGGACAAUGGGGGGAACCCUGAUCCAGCCAUGCCGCGUGUGUGAAGAAGGCCCUCGGGUUGUAAAGCACUUUCAGUGAGGAAGAACGCCUGGUGGUUAAUACCCAUCAGGAAAGACAUCACUCACAGAAGAAGCACCGGCUAACUCCGUGCCAGCAGCCGCGGUAAUACGGAGGGUGCGAGCGUUAAUCGGAAUUACUGGGCGUAAAGCGCGCGUAGGUGGCUUGAUAAGCCGGUUGUGAAAGCCCCGGGCUCAACCUGGGAACGGCAUCCGGAACUGUCAAGCUAGAGUGCAGGAGAGGAGGGUAGAAUUCCCGGUGUAGCGGUGAAAUGCGUAGAGAUCGGGAGGAAUACCAGUGGCGAAGGCGGCCUUCUGGACUGACACUGACACUGAGGUGCGAAAGCGUGGGUAGCAAACAGGAUUAGAUACCCUAGUAGUC
rnacentral:rRNA from 1 species